AUGCUACUCCCUCCGUCCGAAAAUACUUGUCAUCAAAAUAGACAAAAAGGAAUGUAUCUAGAACUAAAAUACAUCUAGAUACAUCCCCUUUUAUUCAUUUUGAUGACAAGUAUUUCCGGACGGAGGGAGUAUAUA
rnacentral:pre_miRNA from 1 species